CCACGUGUCAAACAGUGGUAAAGCCGUCCGGCUAUACUAUUAUUUAUAAACAAUUCGAAGAGUAUAGCCGUUCGGCUUUACUAUUUUUAAAUAAAU
rnacentral:miRNA from 1 species